UUGUUUAAACAUUUUAAAAUGUCAUAAACAUCACAACACCUUAAACCCGACCCAAAACUUCAUUACAAACUUGCAUAAGUCAUGCUCACGGGUCUCACUUCAUACAUCGCAUUUUUUCCUAUUUUUGGACACUUUUGAUUUUCCAAAUAUUUUACCCAACCUCACUAAAACAGCCAUAACUCUCGCGUUUUAAAACAUUUUUGAGCGAUUCUUGAGCCCACGCGAAGAUAACUUCCAGGGCUCCAACAUUUGUCUCACGACAGUUUUCCAAAAUCAUAACACAUCAGUCCAGAAAUUUACACAAAGGUGGCUGUUCGGAAUUUGAUUAACAGUUUUGAUACACAUCUCCCGAACGCCAUAACUACCUCAUCCGGAAUCGGAAUUAGUCCGUUCCGGAGUCUAUGGAAAGCUAAAUCAGAGUAAUACAAAAAGUCCAGAAUUUUUAAAACACAAAAAACUUGACGAAAUUUCCCUUGCUACUGACUGCCCCGAAUCUGCCCAUUUUUGGUUAUAAAAACGGAACUGUUUUCACCAAAUCAGUCACUACCCCAUGUAAACUCAACAUUUUUCAGGGCUACCACUUGGGUUAACUACUACACACAUAUAUCUAACACCCCUCUUUAACGGUUUACAAAAAGAAGUCAUAGAUUUAAAACGGUGAAAUUCCAAAGUACUAGGAAAUUUCGGAUUCAAAACUAGAAAAUAAAUUUUCUUUAUUCUUUUGAUUCCACCCAAAUCAACAUCAAAAAAAUGAGUAAAUCCAUACAUGAAUCCAUAUAUAUCACAUAGAUCUUAGGGUUUUAAACACCCAAAUCAAAAACCCCUUUCAUCAAUUUCUUAAAAAAAAUUAGAGAGAGAUUAUACCUUUUGCUUUUUCUUCUUCUUCUUCUUCUUCUUCUUCUUCCUUCUCUAUUUCUUCCAUCCAUGGAGAUCUUCCUUCUCCUUAUCUUCCACAAGGGGGCUGCCCCUCUCUUCUUCUUCUCCCGUUCUCUCCCUUUCUCUUUCUAUUUCUUCUCUUUUUCUUUUCUCUUUCUCUCUUACUCUCAUCCGUUCCUUUCCUCUUCUUUUUUUUUUUUUAAAUUGGCCACUUGGCCUUCUUCUAGACACAUGCUAGCAUCCCUUUUUUUUUUUUCUAGAAACAUUCGGCCACUUGGCCCUCUAAUUUGCCACAUGUCUUUUUAUUGCUUAUUAAAUGCACAAAAUACCCAUCACUAAUUGGGUUUUAAAAAUUGAGAUAUGUCCCAUAAUUGUUUGGGCUUUCUCACUUAAUUCUUUGGGCUAUGUAGUAUUAACAUAAUCCAAUUCUUUCUAUUUUUACCCACCCUAAAUAUUUAAUUAGGGUAUCCAUUCUAAAUAAUUAGAAUUUAAAUCCUCACUCUACUACACUAAAUUUUAUAACCCAAUUAAGCUUGUUUUAAUUAAGUUACAAAAUUAAUAACUUGAGAUAAUAAAAAAUAUAUCUCUUAACUUAAUAUUAUUUUAAUAUAUUAUUCUCCCACAAGUGGCUUAGCUUGGGCCUUUAAUAAUUCCAUUGAGCUAGCCCUUUUACUUGCUUACUUACUAACAAACUAACUUGGGCUUCCUCCCAAAAUUUAAUUGGGUCAUUAUAAAACUAGUCACAUACAUAAUAUGCUAGGCUAGAUUAUUAAUUUAAUCGCCCUUAAACCAUAAUAUCUACAAGUCACGUGCUUAAAUAAAUUAAUUGGACUUGUUUAAACAAUAUAACCCCUUUAGUCCAUUAAAUCCACUUCUCUUGGACUCUAUUCAAAUUAAUUGGGCUAUGACCUUAUUAUAGUCCAUUAUUUUUAAUUCUAUUCCAUUCUACCCUUAUCAUUAUAUUAGGGUUUACAUGCACUCAAGUGAAAUAAAAAUUCUUACUUAAGUACAUUUAAUAUCUUAACCUAAUUAGACUUGCUAUAAUUAGGCUAUAAAAUUAAUUAACUGAGAUGUAUAAAAUAAAUCUCUCAUAAUUGGUAUAUAUUCUAAAUACCAUAAUUCUCUUUUCCCAUAACCCUUAAGUUAUUAAAUCUUUCAUUCCUAAUUUAUAAUUAGGAUCACAUUAGUUUCUUUUAUUUGUUUAUAUAAUAAACAAAUAUAAACUAUCACAUAAUCUUCAUAUUCCUUUACUCACCUAUUCGAACAAAAUAAUUUAAUAAAUUGGGACAUGUUCCACAAUUCACUUAAAUUAGGUCACUAAAAUAAAAUAUUAGGACCACUAAAUAACGAUAACCAUUUAGGUUAUUUAAUUAUCACACCUAAUAUAUAUAUUAGGUUACAUAACUUAAUUCUUAUUUCACUUUUAUAUACAAAAUAAAUGUAUUCCCAUUAUAUAAUGUAUAUUUACUUACUCAUAUACAUAAUUCACAUAAUCAUAACAUAUUUCACUUCUCACACUAAUUUUGACUUUUCUCCAUAAAAGUCAACUGUUGACUUUGACCAAAAGUCAACCUUUACACAUUUUGUGCUUAUUGUCCAUUCUGACUAAAUUCGACGUUCUGGACGCAACCGAGCAGUCCAUGCUUCAAAAUUCUAUCUCUAACUCAAAUUUUGAGUUUUAAAUUACUUCAUUCUCAUUACUAAUCGUUUUAACUAACGACUUUAUACUUAUUCAAAUUCUUAUUUGUCAGUCAAGGCCAACACUCAAGCUAUGUUAAUUACUAACAUAGUUUUAUCUUGAUCCUCAUAUCAUUAACUUAAUUCAUCAUUCCUCUUGCUAAAAUAUAUAUAGCACUUUACUAAGUAUAUAUAUAUUUCUAUACAUAUACUCAUCUUCGUUUAACCUCAUAGCAUCUCUUCAUGUGAAAUCUUAUUUCCAAUAAUAAAAUUUCCAUAUGUACUUAUAUAACAUUUCUUAGACUAUUCAGUUCACAUCGAAUUUACAGGUAUCGUAAUACCUUAUUCUUGAUAUUCCUCCAAGUAC
rnacentral:lncRNA from 1 species